GGGUUGUGAGGUUAAGCGACUAAGCGUACACGGUGGAUGCCCUGGCAGUCAGAGGCGAUGAAGGACGUGCUAAUCUGCGAUAAGCGUCGGUAAGGUGAUAUGAACCGUUAUAACCGGCGAUUUCCGAAUGGGGAAACCCAGUGUGAUUCGUCACACUAUCAUUAACUGAAUCCAUAGGUUAAUGAGGCGAACCGGGGGAACUGAAACAUCUAAGUACCCCGAGGAAAAGAAAUCAACCGAGAUUCCCCCAGUAGCGGCGAGCGAACGGGGAGCAGCCCAGAGCCUGAAUCAGUGUGUGUGUUAGUGGAAGCGUCUGGAAAGGCGCGCGAUACAGGGUGACAGCCCCGUACACAAAAAUGCACAUGCUGUGAGCUCGAUGAGUAGGGCGGGACACGUGGUAUCCUGUCUGAAUAUGGGGGGACCAUCCUCCAAGGCUAAAUACUCCUGACUGACCGAUAGUGAACCAGUACCGUGAGGGAAAGGCGAAAAGAACCCCGGCGAGGGGAGUGAAAAAGAACCUGAAACCGUGUACGUACAAGCAGUGGGAGCACGCUUAGGCGUGUGACUGCGUACCUUUUGUAUAAUGGGUCAGCGACUUAUAUUCUGUAGCAAGGUUAACCGAAUAGGGGAGCCGAAGGGAAACCGAGUCUUAACUGGGCGUUAAGUUGCAGGGUAUAGACCCGAAACCCGGUGAUCUAGCCAUGGGCAGGUUGAAGGUUGGGUAACACUAACUG
rnacentral:rRNA from 1 species